GUGAGGAAUUUUCCGCAAUGGGCGAAAGCCUGGCGGAGCAAUGCCGCGUGAAGGAUGAAGGCCUAUGGGUUGUAAACUUCUUUUCUCAGAAAAGAAUUAUGACGGUAUCUGAGGAAUAAGCAUCGGCUAACUCUGUGCCAGCAGCCGCGGUAAGACAGAGGAUGCAAGCGUUAUCCGGAAUGGUUGGGCGUAAAGCGUCUGUAGGUUGUUUAAAAAGUAUUCUGUCAAAGAUUAGGGCUUAACCCUAGAUAGGCAGAAUAAACUUUUAAGCUAGAGUUUGGUAGAGGCAGAGGGAAUUCCCGGUGGAGCGGUGAAAUGCGUAGAUAUCGGGAGGAACACCAAAGGCGAAGGCACUCUGCUGGGCCAAUACUAACACUGAGAGACGAAAGCGAGGGGAGCAAAUGGGAUUAGAAACCCCAGUAGUCC
rnacentral:rRNA from 1 species